AUGCGCCACCUAAAGUUGGUACGCAAUAUGAGGGCACAUAGCGACCCUUGGUUUGCUGAAUAGUUGUUGCGCAUUGGUGAUGGCAAGGAGGAGACCAAUAAUGAUGGUUGUGUACGCCUUCCGGACGAGAUAUGUCUGCCCUGUACUGGGAAGGGCACUGAUCUUGAUACACUGAUAGAUAAUGUUUUUCCCAGUCUCGGUGCUAAUAUGACUGAUCCAAACUACAUCACCUCCAGAGCAAUCUUAUCGACGCGAAAUGAUUGUGUGGAUAGGAUAAAUAUAAAGAUGAUCAAC
rnacentral:rRNA from 1 species